rnacentral:rRNA from 1 species
UUAACACAUGCAAGUCGAACGAUGAAGCCCUUCGGGGUGGAUUAGUGGCGAACGGGUGAGUAACACGUGGGCAAUCUGCCCUGCACUCUGGGACAAGCCCUGGAAACGGGGUCUAAUACCGGAUACGAGCCUCCCGGGCAUCUGGGAGGUUGGAAAGCUCCGGCGGUGCAGGAUGAGCCCGCGGCCUAUCAGCUUGUUGGUGAGGUAACGGCUCACCAAGGCGACGACGGGUAGCCGGCCUGAGAGGGCGACCGGCCACACUGGGACUGAGACACGGCCCAGACUCCUACGGGAGGCAGCAGUGGGGAAUAUUGCACAAUGGGCGAAAGCCUGAUGCAGCGACGCCGCGUGAGGGAUGACGGCCUUCGGGUUGUAAACCUCUUUCAGCAGGGAAGAAGCGAAAGUGACGGUACCUGCAGAAGAAGCGCCGGCUAACUACGUGCCAGCAGCCGCGGUAAUACGUAGGGCGCAAGCGUUGUCCGGAAUUAUUGGGCGUAAAGAGCUCGUAGGCGGCUUGUCGCGUCGAUUGUGAAAGCCCGGGGCUUAACUCCGGGUCUGCAGUCGAUACGGGCAGGCUAGAGUGUGGUAGGGGAGAUCGGAAUUCCUGGUGUAGCGGUGAAAUGCGCAGAUAUCAGGAGGAACACCGGUGGCGAAGGCGGAUCUCUGGGCCAUUACUGACGCUGAGGAGCGAAA